AGCGGGCAGCUGCAGGAAGCUGCCUGCGCACGUCCAGCGCUGCGCCUUCGGCCCUGCCAGCGGCUGUGACAGCCACUGCCCAGGCGGCUGCGGAGGCGGCGAGGAGGAAAGGCACUCGGCGACUAAGACCUGCUGAAGUGGGGACACGCGUGAGGGGCCACCCGGACCUGGGGGUCGGCCUCUGGUCGUUGCCUGCUGGCAGGCGCAGGUCGGUUUGUUGGAGCGCAGGUACCAGGAGAAGUUGGCUCAGUACAUGGCGCACACGCGCAACUUCGUCGGGGACCGAGGAGGCCGCGGCCAGGAUGGAGAACAGAAGCCAUUCACCGUUGUGUUGGAAAGAGAAGAUGAUACCUUGGGAUUCAACAUAAUAGGCGGCCGCCCAAAUCAGAGUUCCCAGAAGCAAUCGGCACCUGAAGGAAUUUAUGUUUCGAAAAUUUUAGAAAAUGGACCUGCAGACCGAGCAGAUGGCCUGGAGAUUCAUGACAAAAUCAUUGCGGUAAGGCAGUUAAAAAAAAAAAAAAAAAGGCGUGUGAUCCGUGAUGAAGCCUCUAUAGGGCUGCUCACAUGUUGUCCACCUCUGGGUCCUUAUCAGAGUAUAAAUCUCACUGCCGUGGAGAAACUGCUGUUUUAUUUCUUCCUAAAAAGGUAA
rnacentral:lncRNA from 14 species